ACAAGAUGAAAGGAGCUGAGUUAGGAAAAAAAUAAUAACAAUCUCUCUGACAGCACAUUUUCUCAAAUACUAAGUGUUUUAUGAAUAUAGACAGAUAUUGUAGGACUUAUGGAAUGUAUCCUUCUUUGUUUUGCUGCUGAAAUCAUAAGGAUUCAAAAUACAGAAUUUGUGAGCUGUCUUAACUCUUAUUUUAAAGUAUUCUGUGUGAGUUGUGUGGGAACCAAAACUGACUUCUAAAAGAUUAGAUGACUUGCACAAAGUCUAACAAUGAGUUAGGAUUAAAGUGACAUUAAUGACCAUCUAGUCCAACCUCUGACAGACAAUUUUACAGAUAAGGAAAUUGAGGCCCAGAGAGUUUAGGACACUUGCCAAAAUCAUACCAUUUGUAGUAACAGAUCUGGAACAGAUCUGGAUCUUUUCAUUUUCUAUGGAUCCUUAUUUCCUCCUACCUGGUAGUAGUAUAGAGAAGAAUCAGCAGCAUCAUGAACUAUAAGAAAAUGACAGGAAGAAGGGAAAACAGAGAAACCUUUGCUUCUGGGUGAUGUAAUUUGCCAUGAACAGAAGAUUAGGAAACCAGAGCCCAGAUAUUUACUUGGCUAAAGUUACACAGGACUAUUUGAACAGUUCCCCAAUUGGUUGGAAGUUCCAUUAUUGGUUGGAAGGGUUGUUGUUCUCUUUGAUGGUGCCUCUGGGAUUGGCAGUCUUCCCUUAUCCUGGUUGGUCCAAAUGAAGAUACAGUCUAAGGCUCUGAAGGAAUUGUCAAAUGGGCUCGUGGUUGAGUUAAUAAUCCUAGUAAGAGUCAAGUGAGAGAAUGGAGUCCAUUCAGAAGUUCAAACUUCAUAAGAACAAGGAUGUCAUACAACUUUUGGGUAUUCAGUCCAGAGAAGGGGCAUUUUGACAUAUCCACAAAAGGAUGAGAGAUCUUACACUUACCACUAAGAGACCCAGAAUAUCAUCAUCCUUUUUUGUCUUCUGAAGAUAGCAUAUCUCCAACUUGGGCAUUAUCCUGUAACCCACCUAUGAGAUUAUGAAGCAGUCCACACAAUUUAAAUGGAAUUACAAUCAACACAAUACCUCAGAGGUUGCCUGAAGUAAAGUUUAUAUAGCCCACCUUGUAUCAAAUGUCUGCUUGGACUGCUUGGAGGAUGUCACAACAAGCUGAGAAGAAGGAAGAAAGGUAAGUAAAAGGGGCCCUAACUAAAUUGCAUUAUCCAUAGCAAUCCCUUGUAGGUUUAUGCAUGUGCCUACCAUAGAAAAUCAAAGAUCUGUUAUUGGUGGCAGAAAUAUAGCUGAAAGAAAACGGGAUUAUUUUUGUUAUUGGGGGUUUUUUUUCUUUAGAAACUGAGGCAUUGUUUGCUGAUUGGUUUGGAAAUGGCCAUAAAAAUAAACAUCAAAUUAAACAGACUUCU